UGGCCGCAGUAUUUUGACUGUGCAAAGGUAGCAUAAUCAUUAGUCUUUUAGUUGAAGGCUUGUAUGAAUGGGUGGACGAGGUAUUAACUGUUUCAUAUAAAUUUAUAAUAAAAUUUUAUAUUUUAGUAAAAAAGCUAAAAUUUAAUUAAAAGACGAGAAGACCCUAUAAAUCUUUAUAUUUAAGUUUUAAUUUAAUUUUUUAAAUUAAUUUAAUAUAAAUUUAAUUUAAUUAUUUUAUUGGGGUGAUAUUAAAAUUUAUAAAACUUUUAAUUUUAGAUAAACAUUAAUUUAUGUUUUAUUGAUCCAUUAAUAAUGAUUAAAAGAAUAAGUUACUUUAGGGAUAACAGCGUAAUUUUUUUGGAGAGUUCUUAUUAAUAAAAAAGUUUGCGACCUCGAUGUUGGAUUAAGAAAUAAAUUUAGGUGUAGAAGCUUAAAAAUUAAGUCUGUUCGACUUUUAAAUUCUUACAUGAUCUGAGUUCAGACCGGCGUAAGCCAGGUUGGUUUCUAUCUUUAAUUUUUUAUAAUAUUUAGUACGAAAGGACCAAAUAUUAAAUUUAUAAAAAUUUAAUUUUUUGAAAAUAAUUAAAUU
rnacentral:rRNA from 1 species